rnacentral:lncRNA from 1 species
UAUACAUAUCAUUCAACAACUUGAAAAUCAAAAUCCUAACAAAACUAACAACAAAAUUAAUUCUCAACUUCAUCAUCAUCAUCUUCUCUAGGGUUGGAUGAAGAAUCUUGAUCUUGAUUUCUCCUACUCCUAUUAAUAGAAAAACUAACCCAAACUUCACCGUUACCACCACCACCAUCACCAACCCUUCUUCUCUCACCACCUUCUUCUUCCUCCCUUUUCUUACCAUCAUCUUCCUGAUCAACAGGCAUCUGAUACCUACAAACAGGACAAGACCCAUGAAUCCCUAACCACUUCUCAAUACACUUUCCAUGAAACCUAUGCUUACAAGGCAUCUCCUUCACAACCCCACCAACCUCAAAUUCCUCCAAACAAACAACACACUCACCACCAUCACCUUCUUCAAUCUCAAUCUUGUCCAUAGCUUCUAUAGACUCCUUCGUAGCCGGUGGUUGACCAUUCUUUGUAGAACUUCCAAGGUUGUUAAAGAGUUCUUCAAUGCUUGAAGCUCCAUCGAUUACAGUGAUACUCUGUGUCAAAGGGUUCACAAAAAUGAUUCUUUGAGGAGUGGAAUCUUCAUUGGUUUCGGAUUCAUGAUCUGGGUCGCUGUUGUUUAAAGUUUGUGAAAGGCUUAGCAUAAAGGGUAAAAACAGAGACAUGUCUCUGUUUCGGAUCAUUCUUUCAAAUAAAGAAGAAAUUUCAGAAAUUUCAGCUUCUGAAGCCAUCAAAUCAAUUCAAAACAGCAAAGAAAAAAAAAAUUAUCAAAGAAAAAGAAUGAGUGAAAGAAAGAUUUGAGAAUGAAGAGAAAAAGUGGAAGUGAUGUGAGUUGAUAUAGAGAGAAAAAAGAACGUCGUGGAAGGAUCUGGAACAACAUAUUACGUGUGUUGUGAAAUUUCGGUGUAUUUGUUGCGAUAUUUUGUGGAGGAC